CCCGCUGGGACACCCACCGUGACUCAGCGCAGACGCAGGGCCUGGCGGAGAGCUCACAAGAGUGGACGCCUGACAGGGAGCAGAGGACAAAUUGAAUUUCAAGUUGGAAAGCAAUAACAGACAGGAGAGACUGUUCCAGUAUCUAUGGCUGUGCCAGGUGGUGCAGUGGACAGAGUCCUAGGCCUGGGUUCAAAUCUGACAGAUGUGGAGCAAGUCACUUAAACUCUAUUUGCCUCAGUUCCCUCAUUUGUAAAACGAGCUGGAGAAAGAAAUGGCAAACGACUCUCGACUCUCAUAUCUUUGGCAAGAAAAUCCCAAAAAGGUCACAAAGAGAUGAUUGGACAACAGAAAAAACCUUUGUGUGCUGUAUGUCCUUAUCACCCUAAUUAUUGUGAACAGGGAUUCUUUGUCGUUUUAUCUUCAUCAUCUUGCACUGCACUUGAUCACAGGCGGUUAAUAAACUGUUUUUUGUUAAUGAUAAUGAUGCAGACAUGGAUAAAUUAAGGCUCUAGAACACUACUUUUUGGGGGGCUUUUUCCUGCUCAAAACCCUUCAUUGACUUGGGAUUGCCAUUCCCUGACCUAUCUGAUUCCCGGCUUCCCUCGCUGCUCCUUGGCACUGUGCUGUCUUCACAUCAUGCCUCUCCCCUGGAACCAUAUCAGUCCUCCUAAACAUCCUUCAAAGUCGGGUUCAAAUACGUCCAUAAAGCCUUCCCAGCCAUUCCAAAGUGACCUCUCCUUCCUCUCAAUUUAUAACACCCAGAAUUUAGAGCUGGUAGGGUUUUGGAUCAGCUAGUCCUCCUCCAAGAAGAAUUGGUCCCAGUCUGCAGGGAGUAGUAGUUUGGGGAGAGGAAGAGUGUGUGUGUGUGUGUGUGUGUGUGUGUGUGUGUGUGUGUGUGUGUGGUGGGUGGAGGGAUAUUGCAAAUAAUGUCCAGCUGCUAGAGGACAAAAGGACAAAUCCUUUAGUAUAUUCACACUGUGAUACCACCUCAGGUUAUGAAAAUAUAUAAAUAUAUACAUUUGUGAUGAUUGUGUGUAAUAGCAACUGUCAGUGAUAAACUGCCUUUUGCUUUUUUAUUUAUUUUUUAUUUUUGGUAAUAGAUAACACUCGCAGCUUUUAAUCUUUUUUGCACUCCUGUUUCUUAUAAGUAGAAAAGCCAUUUUAGAUGUAAUUUACUGGUAAUUUCUUUUGAUCGGUUUUGUACUUUUUAUAACAUGCUUCUCGGGAUUUUUUACUCUAGGAAUUACUUGAAAAUUACUAUCGAUUUUUCCUCAGAAGUAUCUAUCCAUUUAUUUUGCUUAUUUUACUUUAUGAAGAAUUGCCAAAGAGCAGUUUAUUCUUAUUUACAAUCCUUUUCCUUUUUGCCGUAUGAUCUAUGUUUUAAGAAGCAGCCACCAUGACAUGAAGAAGAAUCCAAUCUGAAACAAAAUGAGCUUUGCUUGAAAGAGCAGCAUUCUUUUUUGUGUACUUAAGUUAAUUGAUACAGUAAUUUAAUCAUUGAACUGCUGUUCACAUUUCACAUUUAAGUCACUUAGCUUGAUUUUUUCUUCUUCUUUAGAAUAUCGAGGCUGAUGAGCAUUUAAAUGGAUUUGUUUGCAGCACUUAAAAAAUAGCCACAAAAUUGAUUGCAUCAUGACAUCCAUCAGAUUUUGCAUUCAGAUUUAGUCCAUUUAUUUUGAAGCUUCCCUAAGGAAAACAUUCUAGAUUUAAUACUAAGUCACCUGCUGGCUGUUCUUUUUUUGCACACCAAAUUCAGAGUAACACAGUACCUUUCCUCAGACUCUUCCUUUCUCUGUGUCUCUCACUCGGUCUUAGCCACUUGCAUCCCCUGCCCUCCUGUUUUAUCCUUACUACAUUUUUUUAAGCUCAGGUAAUUUUUCCCUUCAAACUGACUGCUCUGUGAUUACAGCACUGACCUCUGUCCUUGCAAGACUUGCAGCCACUCUCAGGGGCAGCUUCUAGUACUUUGCAAGUUGGCUGGCAGGGAUUAUUUCGCAGGCCACGAAGCCCCUGACCUUCACCAAAGAAUGGAUGUCUGCACUGCCCAUAAAUUCCUUCAGCCUAGUGAUGGAGAGCCUCAGCUCUGCUGCCCACUGUACGAGUCAGAGUCCAUGACUUCUGGGCAGAGGACAGAUCAAGGAAACAGAGCUGGUAAAAAAUGAAAACACAAAAGAAAGAAAAAUCAUUGGAAACACGUUCUUCUGUGAUCUUUAUUUAACCAGAUGUGAAUUGUGGAAUUUAAAAGAAGAGUCGUAACACUGAAGCCGGGGUAAGAAAAUGCCACGAGGGACAUCCUAGAGAAUCUUCAGUUCGGGUCUGCUCUUGGAUACAUACUUGCCUGUCGUCUCACCUUGAAAGAUGAUCUCGGGUAUCCAGAACUACAGGAUCAUGCAUGAAAUAAGGGAACAAUGUGGUGCCAUGAAAGGAGUGCUGAAUUUGGAAUCAAACGAUUUCACUUCAAAUCCCUGUUCUUGUCUGCUUCUUAGUUGCUCUUUGUGUGUCACUGGGUAAGUCACUUCUCUCUGAGUUUCAAUUUACUCAUCUAAUGAGGGGAUUGAACUAGACCUCUGAGAUUCCCUCUAGUUUUGAAUCUAUGAGUCUAUGAUCCAACAGAAGAUUUUGUUGGAUUUUCUUUCUUCAUGCUAGUUUCAAUAGGUAUUUUGAUCCAGAGGGUUUAAACUGAUGCUGUAUUUAAUGUAUGUUUAUGCAGGUGUCUGUACUGAUUUUAACUCAGGAGGAUGAUCCAUGACCUGAUCAAUGAUAGGUAGGACUAGUGCUCUGAGCUUUCCCCAGCUGUGGUUUUAAAUCUUUGUUGAUGCAUCUAUGCGCUUUCUUUUUUUAAUUUCAUGGUAGCAUAUGUGAUUUAAGCUUUAAAGCUACAACCAUGUUAUUGUGAAUAAUAAUUUAAACUUUAAAGUUUACAAUGUACUUUUACAUUUAUUAUUUCAGUCCUAUAGAGUAGAAUUUUUUUAAAUCCAGUUUACAACCCUGUGGGAUAGACAUUC